CCUUAGUCAUGAGGCAAUAACAGGUCUGUGAGCCCUUAGAUGUUCUGGGUCGCACGCGCGCUACACUGACAGAGCCAGCGAGUUCUCACCUUGGCCGGAAGGUCUGGGUAAUCUUGUGAAAUUUGUCGUGCUGGGGAUAGAGCAUUGCAUUAUUGCUCUUCAACGAGGAUUCCUAGUAAGCGUGAGUCAUCAGCUCGCGUUGAUUACGUCCCUGCCCUUUGUACACACCGCCCGUCGCUACUACCGAUUGAUGGCUUAGUGAGGUCUCCGGAUUGGCUUUGGGGAGCCGGCAACGGCACUCUAUUGCUGAGAAGCUGUCAAACUUGUCUUUAAGGAAUAAAUCGACAGGUUCCGAGGGACCUGCGGAACGU
rnacentral:rRNA from 1 species